AUUUUCCUUGCCAAAACUUAACAGAGAGAAAAUGUCUCAAGCACGAAAACACAUUUUGUCAAGAAUUCUGUAGAAUGUUGAAGCUUGAUUGCUUGAACUAAUGUUCCUUUACCUGACAUCUUUGGGAAGCUGCAAGUCGUGCUUCUCAAUUAAAAAUAUAAGAAGUUCUUGUAAAUUUUUUUUAAUAUAAUGAUUUGAUUAGAAUUAAGUAAGAGUUCAUUAAUGUUUUAUACUUAAAAUGAUUUGUGCAUGGCACAAAAACCGUUAAAUUUAGAUAAUCACAAUUAUAAUUAUCAGAUGUAAAUCAAUACAAUACUAAAAGUUGAAUAAGAUCAACAUCUAGACUAUCCACGUAGGCAAAUUAAAUCGACCUAUCAGAGUAUUGAAUUAGGCGACGUCACCCAAAUCAACCUAAACGACAUAUUUGCUUCAUCUUCUGCAAAAUCACCUAAGCUUCACCGCCGUUACUUGUCUUCUCUUCUAGACCAGUUCCCUCCUUCCGAUCAUUCUCUCUACCCUCCCCCUCCGCCUCAGCUUCCCACUGUAAGUUAUGAUCAAAUCCUUUCUGAUUACUCCGUCGUGAUUCCCGAUUUCGAUUAGGUUUAGGUUUGGAGACUUCGAAUUAGAUCGGAUUUCUCUAAGAGUUUGAUGAUUUUCAGCUUCUUUCGAUUUGAAUAGUGUAUUCUUCCUGCUGGUGUGGCGUUCCAUUCAUCUGGGUUUGUUUCCAGCGACCCUGCGAGUUUCCCACGGAGCUACCCCAUUGUCUUGACGGAGGGUGAUGGAACGAAAAUAUUUGUCAGAUUGCGUUUCGGGACCGAGUCUGCGAGGAUGUUACUGAAGCUUAUCGUUUACCACCCAAUACAUACACAGACAAGUGUAUCUGUAUCGUCUCUUACGCCCCCAGUUUCCGAGCUCUUCGGGAUUCUCUCGAGGAGAUUUUUGUUCUUUACUUCUCCUCAGAAGGAAGCUGGUAAGAACAUUCAGUGCUUAAAAAUAUGAAAGCAAACCUCCAUUCUUCUGUUUUGAAAUUGGUGUUAGUCGCCUCUUCAAUAUUUUUAGUAAGCCAUUGUGGGAUAUUAUUGCUAUGUUUCGGUCUCUAUUUUUCCUCUGUAUUUGGUAAGAUGCCAAAGGAAUCUUCAGUGACACU